GAUCCUGGCUCAGGAUGAACGCUGGCGGCGUGCUUAAUACAUGCAAGUCGAACGAAGACUUCUCGCUGAAUUGAAUUCAUUCUUUCUUGAGAUGUCUUAGUGGCGGACGGGUGAGUAACGCGUGGGUAACCUGCCUUACACAGGGGGAUAACAGUUAGAAAUGACUGCUAAUACCGCAUAAGCGCACAGUAUCGCAUGAUACAGUGUGAAAAACUCCGGUGGUGUAAGAUGGGACCCGCGUCUGAUUAGCUAGUUGGUGAGGUAACGGCCCACCAAGGCGACGAUCAGUAGCCGGCCUGAGAGGGUGAACGGCCACAUUGGGACUGAGACACGGCCCAAACUCCUACGGGAGGCAGCAGUAGGGAAUAUUGGACAAUGGGGGAAACCCUGAUCCCAGCGACGCCGCGUGAGUGAAGAAGUAUUUCGGUACGUAAAGCUCUAUCAGCAGGGAAGAAAAUGACGGUACCUGACUAAGAAGCACCGGCUAAAUACGUGCCAGCCGCUGC
rnacentral:rRNA from 1 species